GACAGUGAAAGAUGAGUGCAAUUGCGUGUGAAAAUUCUGUUGAAAUUAUGAACAAAUUCAAUCGUUGUAGGUAAUUGAUAGGAUGAAUAGAGAGUAUAGAAAUAAUAGGUAACGUGGAAGUGGGGGCUAAAGAAGAAACGGUGUAAUUUAGCAAAGAUUAGAGUAGGAAAGUAAGAGCAGAUUCUGAGAUUACGAUGGUAGAGAACAAAAGAUUGGAAUAAGUAAGGAAAAUGAACGUAACAGAUAGAGACAUAGGAAAAGAAUAUGGAAUAGCAGAAUAUGGAAUAGUAGAAGCUAAAGAAAGGAAGGAAGGUUAGACAGCUGGAAAUGAAGAGAGGAAGGUGACCAAUGGAAGAGAAUGGAGGAGUAAACCAGCCAGGAUAACAGAAAAUUACUAGAGCAUUGCAGGACUGAUAAAGAAGGGGCAGACAAUGAGAAAAAGGCGGAAGACUAGGAAAAAUUUCAGGGAGCCGCCGAGACGUGGACGUAGACGAAGGAAACGAGAGCAAAAUCAGCAGCUACGUAUGGGAAUCCUAUAACGUGCCGACGUCCGGGGCCGCGUCGGAAGAACCACGGACGACGAAGAAUGCCGGGCAUCCGACGGUAGAUUAUCGGCUCUCGAGCGUAUCGCAGAACGCUCUCAACGAAA